rnacentral:rRNA from 1 species
GAUGAACGCGGCGGUGUGCCUAAUACAUGCAAGUCGAACGCGUUGGCCUAAUUGAUUGAUGGUGCUUGCACCUGAUUGAUUUUGGUCGCCAACGAGUGGCGGACGGGUGAGUAACACGUAGGUAACCUGCCCAGAAGCGGGGGACAACAUUUGGAAACAGAUGCUAAUACCGCAUAACAGCGUUGUUCGCAUGAACAACGCUUAAAAGAUGGCUUCUCGCUAUCACUUCUGGAUGGACCUGCGGUGCAUUAGCUUGUUGGUGGGGUAACGGCCUACCAAGGCGAUGAUGCAUAGCCGAGUUGAGAGACUGAUCGGCCACAAUGGGACUGAGACACGGCCCAUACUCCUACGGGAGGCAGCAGUAGGGAAUCUUCCACAAUGGGCGCAAGCCUGAUGGAGCAACACCGCGUGAGUGAAGAAGGGUUUCGGCUCGUAAAGCUCUGUUGUUAAAGAAGAACACGUAUGAGAGUAAUUGUUCAUACGUUGACGGUAUUUAACCAGAAAGUCACGGCUAACUACGUGCCAGCAGCCGCGGUAAUACGUAGGUGGCAAGCGUUAUCCGGAUUUAUUGGGCGUAAAGAGAGUGCAGGCGGUUUUCUAAGUCUGAUGUGAAAGCCUUCGGCUUAAUCGGAGAAGUGCAUCGGAAACUGGAUAACUUGAGUGCAGAAGAGGGUAGUGGAACUCCAUGUGUAGCGGUGGAAUGCGUAGAUAUAUGGAAGAACACCAGUGGCGAAGGCGGCUACCUGGUCUGCAACUGACGCUGAGACUCGAAAGCAUGGGUAGCGAACAGG